UUAUGUUCUUCCUGGAUGGGAAGGUUCAUCAUCAGAUUCAAAAGUUUUACGAAGUGCAUUAGUGAGAGAAAGGGAUCCAUUUCUUGUGCCGACUGGAAAUUAUUAUCUAGUUGAUGCUGGAUAUGCAAAUACUCCCGGAUUUUUAGCUCCUUAUCGUUCUACUCGUUAUCACCUAAAUGAAUGGUCAAGUCAUGGUAAUCGUCCUUCUAACUAUAAGGAAUUAUUUAACCUACGACACUCUUUAGCAAGAAAUUCAGUAGAGAGAACAUUUGGAUUGCUGAAAAAACGAUGGGCAGUACUUCGUCAACCAUCAUUUUUUGGUACUAAUACACAGGUGAAUUUUUAUAACAUAAUUAUAAGAAUUGGUCAUAUUAUUUCCUUGACAUAUAUACACAAAUAUUUGUCUCAAUAAUUAAUUUACUUGAAUGACAGGUUCGUAUUAUUAAUGCUUGUUGUGUUCUUCAUAACUACAUUCGUGAAAUUGCAAGUGAAUUGGAUUAUCCAUUGUUGCAUGAGGUUGAUUGUGAUUUGGCACAACAAUCAAAUGAAGUAUUUGAUGUGGACUAUGAAGAUGUCAUAACAAAUGUACAAGGUGGUAGUCAAUGGACAAAUUUUAGGGAUGAUAUGGCAAGGGAGAUGUAUAGUCAAUAUCAAGUUAGGAGUGGUAGAACUUAAUUACAUGUUUUUAGUGAUUUUAGUUUAUGUUAAGCUAGUAUAAUUGUGGUGAUGUGUAUCUUCUUUUAUCAAUAUAAAAUCUUUGUUGGUGUCUUUUCUAA